rnacentral:rRNA from 1 species
CCUACGGGAGGCUGCAGUGAGGAAUAUUGGUCAAUGGACGAGAGUCUGAACCAGCCAAGUAGCGUGAAGGAUGACUGCCCUAUGGGUUGUAAACUUCUUUUAUAUGGGAAUAAAACGUUCCACGUGUGGGAUUUUGUAUGUACCAUAUGAAUAAGGAUCGGCUAACUCCGUGCCAGCAGCCGCGGUAAUACGGAGGAACCGAGCGUUAUCCGGAUUUAUUGGGUUUAAAGGGAGCGUAGGUGGAUUGUUAAGUCAGUUGUGAAAGUUUGCGGCUCAACCGUAAAAUUGCAGUUGAAACUGGCAGUCUUGAGUACAGUAGAGGUGUGCGGAAUUCGUGGUGUAGCGGUGAAAUGCUUAGAUAUCACGAAGAACUCCGAUUGCGAAGGCAGUUCACUGGACUGCAACUGACACUGAGGCUCGAAAGUGUGGGUAUCAAACAGGAUUAGAUACCCGAGUAGUC